UACAGAGGUCUCAAGCGUUGUUCGGAUUCAUUGGGCGUAAAGGGUGCGUAGGUGGCGUGGUAAGUCGGGUGUGAAAUUUCGGAGCUUAACUCCGAAACUGCAUUCGAUACUGCUGUGCUUGAGGACUGGAGAGGAGACUGGAAUUUACGGUGUAGCAGUGAAAUGCGUAGAGAUCGUAAGGAAGACCAGUGGCGAAGGCGGGUCUCUGGACAGUUCCUGACACUGGGGCACGAAGGCCAGGGGAGCAAACGGG
rnacentral:rRNA from 1 species